UAGGGAAUCUUCCACAAUGGACGAAAGUCUGAUGGAGCAACGCCGCGUGAGUGAAGAAGGGUUUCGGCUCGUAAAGCUCUGUUGGUAGUGAAGAAAGAUAGAGGUAGUAACUGGCCUUUAUUUGACGGUAAUUACUUGAAAGUCACGGCUAACUACGUGCC
rnacentral:rRNA from 1 species